AAGGGUAAAGCUCAGUGGUAGAGCACACGCUUAGCAUGCAUGAGGUCUUGGGUUCAAUCCCCAGUACCUCCA
rnacentral:tRNA from 1 species